rnacentral:ncRNA from 3 species
CACGAACCGUCCAAACGUUAUUCGGAAUUAUUGGGCUUAAAGGGUGCGUAGGCGGCGCUUUAAGUCGGGUGUGAAAUCCUUCGGCUCAACCGAAGAAUUGCGCCCGAUACUGGAGUGCUAGAGGGAGACAGGGGUGAGCGGAACUGAUGGUGGAGCGGUGAAAUGCGUUGAUAUCAUCAGGAACACCGGUGGCGAAAGCGGCUCACUGGGUCUCUUCUGACGCUGAGGCACGAAAGCCAGGGUAGCGAACGGG